GAGGGGUCGCCAGUCGCCGCAGGCGCUUCAGCCCAGCGGCGGGCCUUGGCCCUUGGCUGCCUACUCCUACCGCCCCAGCCCCGGGCGGCCCUGGGCCUGCUGCGGGCGCGGCGCUGCCCGACCAGAGCUUCCUGUGGAACGUCUUCCAGAGGGUCGAUAAAGACAGGAGUGGAGUGAUAUCAGACACCGAGCUUCAGCAAGCUCUCUCCAACGGACAAAGGAAUCAUUAGGACAAAUUGUUAAUACUGCUUCAUGGUGGAGAUGCUUCUGGUUUAUUUUGUGGCUACCGCUGUUACUGCUUGGAGUGCCUCACCGAGCCAGGCACGUGGACUCCCUUUAAUCCAGUGACUGUCAGGUCGAUCAUAUACUACACUGAAGGCUGGUUACGCUCUUAUGUGCAAUAGAACCUCAAACACAUCGUAACACACCUUUGGAGAAUCCUUACAAGAACACCAAGUUAACAGUUAUCUCUGACCACACUACCUCAGCAAAAAACCAGGAAGAAAAAAUAUUCUUCAACCCUUUUCAGGGACAGAAAGCAUCAUUUCAAAAGUCCAAGAAGGGAAGCAAAACUUCUGACCUGAGACAUCGAAGCAGAUAAAAAGCCGCUACACAAAAUGUAUCGCUACAACUAGAGGGCAGUCUUGCCUUUCUUCCAUUCAAUUAUUCAGUUUCUCAUGUUCCUAAGUGCCAGCCCAGAACCAUGGAAUGUGAAGAAACACAAAACUCACUCCUCUGCAUCAGUGAAUUGAUUGUGUGGUGGGGAUGUAAGUCUGCAUGUGACUGACAGUUCCCCAAAGUGGUGCCAAGUCAAUCUAAACUAGAGAGAAUUUCUGGCCAGGCCAAGCAGAGAUUUCAUGGAUGAAGUCUCCCAAAGACUGAUUUCCUAAACAUUAAACAUCACUGGUUUUCCAAAA
rnacentral:lncRNA from 1 species